rnacentral:lncRNA from 1 species
CACACAUGUUGUGUGGUCUGCACUUAAGUUGAUACCUAUAAAUGGCAGGGUUGUGGGUCACAUGCUGGCUGGAGGGCUGAGCUGCAGAGGAAGACUAAGCUACACCUGGAGCAGUGGUAAUCAUCAGCCAGAGAGCAGCUUCAUUUCUAACUGCAGGGAACAGGACAGAGGAAGCAGCUGUUCUUUUGGGCUCUGUUCUGAUCCACAUUUUGAAUGACCCAUCCUUUAGCUUGCUGGAAUUCAAUGAGCAAAAGCAGAGCACAGACAAGAUUGCAAAUAUAUUCUGCUCAGAUGGAGGCACUAAACAC